UAUCGCUGCCCUCCUUGGGCGUUUCCUCCCUAGACUUGGACCGCUUGCUAUCGCAAGCGGUCCUUUUUUCUUGUCGGA
rfam:Tardiphaga sp. Vaf07 contig_1, whole genome shotgun sequence.